rnacentral:rRNA from 1 species
CGUAGUUGGAUUUCUGGCUCGACGGGGCUGACCCGCGGUGCAAACCGUGAGUGUCGGCUUUUCCGUCUGCCAUCCUUCCAGAGAACGUUCCUACCCUUCACUGGGCCGGGUUCGCAAUCUGGGACUUUUACUUUGAGGAAAUUAGAGUGUUCAAAGCAGGCUUGCGCUGUGAAUACAUUAGCAUGGAAUAUCAACUUAGGACUUUGGUUCUAUUUUGUUGGUUUCUAGGACUGAAGUAAUGA